CUUUUGUUCGGUUUAGGAGCUUAACGUCAGCAUGCAGGGCAAAAGAAACCCUUCAGGGAAAAUUAUUUGGAAAUCCUCGUGUACAUAUUUGUUUUGCUAAGAGUGAAGCUGGCUCAUCUAGUAGUGGGAGGACACCUCUCUCUCCAUAUUAUAAGUCAAAUGGUCACUCAGGAGCUUCUGAGAACUUUCGGCAGGAUAGGAAUUUUGGAAGCUUAAUGUCAGAUACCAGCAUUAGAUCUCCUCGUUAUAUGUCAAAUUUAGAUUCAGACUCUGAUGUCCAUGGCUUCAACAGGAAGGGUAUGUUGUAUCCUGGUGGAAGCAAUACGUUUGAUAAUUGGAGGUUUGGGGAAGAACUAGGACCACCACCAGAUGUGUAUGAACGCCAUGGGAGUCCUACAAGAGAAAGGGGCCCUAACUUUGACGAAUUUGCCCAG
rnacentral:misc_RNA from 1 species